CAAAGUGUAGCUUAAACAAAGCGUCUGGCCUACACCCAGAAGAUUUCACAUUAAAUGACCACUUUGA
rnacentral:tRNA from 1 species